AAUCAACCAGACUAACCCCCAUGAAAAACAGGCCAUCCUGCUUCCCUUCUAGAAAGGAAGACUAAGAAUAAAAAAGUGUCACUAUGCGAUCUGUCCGGGAAUUCCUAACCUUCAGUAAUAAGCAGUGACACCUCUGUGACAUCUUCCCAGGACAGAGAGAGUCAAUUGUGUCUUCUAAGAUGAGCCACUUGGGCCAACCAUGGAAAUGCCAGUCAAGAAGAUGACUAGGUUUCCCCUCCUUCCAUCCCCUCCUCCCCAACUGAGGGAGAAACGAUGGUGUUGCUUGUUCACUGGAAAUUUUCAGAGAUGAGGAAGCUGAAAGGAGGAAAGGCUGCUGUCCGCUCUAAUCACGUCUCAGAAACAUUCAGCCCCACCUGACUGGGGUCCCAAUCCCAGGUAUGCUCAACGCGGCAAAAUGGAAGACACAGGGCAGUCAGUAAGAGCAGUUACAGUGGAGAAUAUAUUUUGGCACAAAUCUAAGUCAGCACGAUUUCCACCCCCGUUCUGGGAUCAGUAUAUUCCCUAAAAACACACAAGAAGACCCAAAGAAAUACAAUCCUUCCUUAUGAAAACUAGUCAUGUGCUCUAACUCCCAAGAGGGCACUCAGUGUAUAAAGUGGGAACAGGGAAAAAUUAUUUGAUCCAUGCAUGUUUACAUGGUCCCUCCUCAUCUCCUCAGAAAAGCCAUCUAGAAAAAAAAAAGUGAUAAUUUACUGAUAUUGUUGAAACUGCAAAUGAAAAUUCCAAGUAUUUUUGCACAGAAGUAUUGUGACCAGAUAAAUCACUUGAGAACCACGGGAAUGUCUUCCCCAUUUCAUAAAUUUCCAGACUGGAUAUGAUAGCAGGACUGGGUGAGGGCAGUUGAGUCCCUCUGAGAAUCCAGGAACUUAUGUAUCACUGGCCUAGUUUUGUUUAUAGAUAUAUAUAAAAAUCCAAAGCCCGAAAGGAGAUUUCGCCAUCAAUCAUUAAAUUCAUCUAAUUGCUGGCAAUGGACACACCAUUCCCCCCCCCCCCCACACACACACCAUAAAUUGUCCUCCACAAACACAUAAUAAAAGUAAAGUGAACUAAAUGUUUGUGAGACACUUGUGAGGUCAUAAAUUAUUAGGGUGGGGACACAACUGCGACCCACAUGAGGCUGAGGUUGGCAAAGGAGGACUGCAAGUAUGUGAAAGCUGGGGGACAUUCCCCGGCUCUCAGAGGUGGGCAGAAGGGACGAUGGCACAGGACAGGAUUCGUUUGGUGGCAGAGAGGGAGGUAUGAAUAACCCAGAGGGCAGACACUUGUGAGCCUCUGGUGGGUUGCCCAGAGCGCCUGUCUACAUGCCCAGGAAUCAAGGGCAGUCACGGGGUGGUUCUAGCAGCAGCACCUACGGCCCAGAAUCAAUGGGGUCAGCACGGCCAGAUGCUACCUAUGCCAGCCAGAAACGACAGUGGCUUCUUCCGGAACCGCUUCUGUGGCGUGAUUUGGGUGACUGCUCUUGGCUGGGUACCUCCCAAGUCUGGGUCUCUGUCCAUCCCAGGGAUUCGGUAGCUAUCAGAUAUCCUUUCAUUUUUUGUUUUCUUUUCUCCUUAAAUUAUCCAAAGCUGGUUUCUCCUGAGUCAGCUAAGCUGCCUGCCUGCAACCGCCUCUCCAGGAGGUCAGGGUAAGAUGGCUUUAGCCACUUGCAGGCAGGUCAGGGACAUGGCCCCAUGUGGUCCCCGGGACAGGCAUACACCUCUGAAGUCCAAGAUCAGCCUGAACUACAACCUGACGUGGCAUGACAAUGUUUCCGAUGUUCCUGUAUCUACAGAAAAGUCUCAUUAGAAAUUACAGCGGGUUUCAGCCGUGCGGUGGGAAGGGCUGCAACCAUUCCCGGGACGGAGAGGUAGAGAGAGGGCAGUAUCUGACUCCUCCCACAGGCCAGCCCUGCAGGAGGGGACCAGCAGCAAUGCCAAGAGCAGUGUUACAGCAGAGCAUGGAGACCCAGAGACGGGUCUCUGGGGAAGACACAGGCUGCAGCUAGGACAGACACGGGGACACAUGAGUGACAGCCCCUGCAAGCGUCAGAGGGCAGAGGACCUUGGGAAGGGGAUCGACAUGCCAGUGGAGUGGCCGGCAUUUGGGCAAACGAUGCAAAGAGAGAUGAUUCAGAAGCACCAUUAUCAACGUGUUGACGACAGAUCUCCCUGGACGAGGGGCUUUCGCAAGAUUCUACUUUCUUUUUUGUACUGUUUUCCGAAGUCUCUACGAUGGCCAAGUUCUCUUUGUCAGCUUUGUAAUGAAGGAAAAGGAGGAGGCGGGGGACUGGGAGAGAGAGGGGUAAGGAGGAGAAAAGGGAGAGAGGCAAUGUGGAACUGCUCCUGAAUGCUGCAUGGCUCCCUUGAGAAACAGCACAAGUAUCCGGAAGGAUGCAGUUGGUCUUUCUUGCUUUUGGGAGAGACAUGAUGGCCGUGCCCUGGAGGGAAAACUGGAGAGAAGGCGGAGUCCAUACUCCCCACAGUAAAGAACAGAGAUGGGCCUUGUCUGAGCCUUCGGAAUCCCAGGGUCACGUGCCCACAGUGGCAGUGGCAGCCGUGAGGACGUGGCCUUGCUCCAAGGCGGUAGUUGCAUCCUGCCUGCUGCCCUGCCACCUCCUCUUCCCACAGAAUGUGUCACCCCCCCUUCCUGAGCAGAAGUGCCUGGAGCCCCACUGUUGGCAAGCAUCUGCUGUCCCUCUCCGCCUUGCCUGUAAUUCCAGUCAUUUUUGCAGCUUACCCUCUAAAGAGACAGAA